rnacentral:rRNA from 1 species
UACGUAGGCAGCGAGCGUUGUUCGGAAUUACUGGGCGUAAAGAGUGUGUAGGCGGUGUUCCAAGUCUGGUGUGAAAUCUCCCGGCUCAACUGGGAGGGUGCGCCGGAAACUGGAAUGCUAGAGGGUGGGAGAGGUAAGCGGAAUUCCUGGUGUAGCGGUGAAAUGCGUAGAUAUCAGGAGGAACACCGGUGGCGAAGGCGGGUCUCUGGGCCGUAACUGACGCUGAGGAGCGAAAGCGUGGGGAGCGAACAGG